rnacentral:rRNA from 1 species
AGCAGCCGCGGUAAUUCCAGCUCCAAUAGCGUAUAUUAAAGUUGUUGCAGUUAAAAAGCUCGUAGUUGAAUUUCGGGAUCAAUACGUCGGUCGUGCCUCUGGUAUGUACUGGUGUUAUUGAUUUCUCCUUUCUGAGGAACCAUGAUGUCAUUAAUUUGGUGUCGUGGGAAAUCAGGACUGUUACUUUGAAAAAAUUAGAGUGUUUAAAGCAGGCAUACGCUUGAAUACAUUAGCAUGGAAUAAUGAAAUAGGACGUUCGAACCUAUUUUGUUGGUUUCUAGGAUCAACGUAAUGAUUAAUAGGGAUAGUUGGGGGCAUUAGUAUUCAAUUGUCAGAGGUGAAAUUCUUGGAUUUAUUGAAGACUAACUACUGCGAAAGCAUUUGCCAAGGAUGUUUUCAUUAAUCAAGAACGAAAGUUAGGGGAUCGAAGACGAUCAGAUACCGUCGUAGUCUUAACCAUAAACUAUGCCGACUAGGGAUCGGAUGAUGUUAAUUUUUAAUGACUCAUUCGGCGCCUUAA